rnacentral:rRNA from 1 species
UACGUAGGGGGCAAGCGUUGUCCGGAUUUAUUGGGCGUAAAGAGCGUGUAGGCGGCCAAGCAGGUCCGCUGUGAAAACUCGAGGCUCAACCUCGAGACGUCGGUGGAAACCGUUUGGCUAGAGUCCGGAAGAGGAGAGUGGAAUUCCCGGUGUAGCGGUGAAAUGCGCAGAUAUCGGGAAGAACACCCGUGGCGAAAGCGGCUCACUGGACCAUAACUGACGCUGAUGCACGAAAGCUAGGGGAGCAAACAGG